GUCUGAACGGCAGCGCGGACUUCGGUCUGGCGGCGAGUGGCGAACGGGUGAGUAAUACAUCGGAACGUGCCCUGUUGUGGGGGAUAACUAGUCGAAAGAUUAGCUAAUACCGCAUACGACCUGAGGGUGAAAGCGGGGGACCGUAAGGCCUCGCGCAAUAGGAGCGGCCGAUGUCUGAUUAGCUAGUUGGUGGGGUAAAGGCCCACCAAGGCGACGAUCAGUAGCUGGUCUGAGAGGACGAUCAGCCACACUGGGACUGAGACACGGCCCAGACUCCUACGGGAGGCAGCAGUGGGGAAUUUUGGACAAUGGGGGCAACCCUGAUCCAGCAAUGCCGCGUGUGUGAAGAAGGCCUUCGGGUUGUAAAGCACUUUUGUCCGGAAAGAAAUCGCUCUGGCUAAUACCUGGGGUGGAUGACGGUACCGGAAGAAUAAGCACCGGCUAACUACGUGCCAGCAGCCGCGGUAAUACGUAGGGUGCGAGCGUUAAUCGGAAUUACUGGGCGUAAAGCGUGCGCAGGCGGUUUUGU
rnacentral:rRNA from 1 species